rnacentral:rRNA from 1 species
GGAAUUGACGGGGGCCCGCACAAGCGGUGGAGCAUGUGGUUUAAUUCGACGCAACGCGCAGAACCUUACCAGCCCUUGACAUGUCCAGGACCGGUCGCAGAGAUGUGACCCUCUCUUCGGAGCCUGGAGCACAGGUGCUGCAUGGCUGUCGUCAGCUCGUGUCGUGAGAUGUUGGGUUAAGUCCCGCAACGAGCGCAACCCCCGUCCUUAGUUGCUACCAUUUAGUUGAGCACUCUAAGGAGACUGCCGGUGAUAAGCCGCGAGGAAGGUGGGGAUGACGUCAAGUCCUCAUGGCCCUUACGGGCUGGGCUACACACGUGCUACAAUGGCGGUGACAAUGGGAAGCAAAGGGGCAACCCCUAGCAAAUCUCAAAAAA